rnacentral:rRNA from 1 species
UACGUAGGGUGCAAGCGUUGUCCGGAAUUAUUGGGCGUAAAGAGCUCGUAGGCGGUCUGUCGCGUCUGCUGUGAAAAUCCAGGGCUCAACCCUGGACCUGCAGUGGGUACGGGCAGACUAGAGUGCAGAAGGGGCAACUGGAAUUCUCGGUGUAGCGGUGAAAUGCGUAGAUAUCGAGAGGAACACCUGCGGCGAAGGCGGGUUGCUGGGCUGGCACUGACGCUGAGGCGCGAAAGCUAGGGGAGCGAACGGG